rnacentral:tRNA from 1 species
GGGUGGAUAGAUCACUGGUAGAGCACGUGCUUAGCAAGCACAAAGUCCUGGCUUCAAUCCCUAGUCCUACCCA